rnacentral:rRNA from 1 species
CACGUAGGGGGCGAGCGUUGUCCGGAUUUAUUGGGCGUAAAGAGCUCGUAGGCGGUUCGGUAAGUCGGGUGUGAAACCUCCAGGCUCAACCUGGAGACGCCACCUGAUACUGCUGUGACUAGAGUCCGGUAGGGGAGUGUGGAACUCCUGGUGUAGCGGUGAAAUGCGCAGAUAUCAGGAAGAACACCAGCGGCGAAGGCGGCACUCUGGGCCGGUACUGACGCUGAGGAGCGAAAGCGUGGGUA